GAUGAACGCUAGCGACAGGCCUAACACAUGCAAGUCGAGGGGCAGCACGAAUCAAGCUUGCUUGAUUUGGUGGCGACCGGCGCGCGGGUGCGUAACAGGUGUGCAAUCUGUCCAUAAUCGGGGAAUAGCCCAGCGAAAGUUGGAUUAAUGCUCCAUGUGAGUUUUAGAGGCAUCUCUUUAAUUUGAAACGCAAGGAUUAUGGGUGAGCACGCUUCUGAUUAGGUAGUUGGUGAGGUAACGGCUCACCAAGCCGACGAUCAGUAGGGGUUCUGAGAGGAAGGUCCCCCACAUUGGAACUGAGACACGGUCCAAACUCCUACGGGAGGCAGCAGUGAGGAAUAUUGGUCAAUGGACGAAAGUCUGAACCAGCCAAGUCGCGUGAAGGAUGAAGGUUCUAUGGAUUGUAAACUUCUUUUGUCUGAGGGUAAAAAAGCGGACGUGUCCGUUCUUGCAAGUAUCAGACGAAUAAGCAUCGGCUAACUCCGUGCCAGCAGCCGCAGUAAUAC
rnacentral:rRNA from 1 species